rnacentral:rRNA from 1 species
GAUGAACGCUGGCGGCGUGCCUAAUACAUGCAAGUCGAGCGAACAGACGAGGAGCUUGCUCCUCUGACGUUAGCGGCGGACGGGUGAGUAACACGUGGAUAACCUACCUAUAAGACUGGGAUAACUUCGGGAAACCGGAGCUAAUACCGGAUAAUAUAUUGAACCGCAUGGUUCAAUAGUGAAAGACGGUUUUGCUGUCACUUAUAGAUGGAUCCGCGCCGCAUUAGCUAGUUGGUAAGGUAACGGCUUACCAAGGCAACGAUGCGUAGCCGACCUGAGAGGGUGAUCGGCCACACUGGAACUGAGACACGGUCCAGACUCCUACGGGAGGCAGCAGUAGGGAAUCUUCCGCAAUGGGCGAAAGCUUGACGGAGCAACGCCGCGUGAGUGAUGAAGGUCUUCGGAUCGUAAAACUCUGUUAUUAGGGAAGAACAAAUGUGUAAGUAGCUAUGCACGUCUUGACGGUACCUAAUCAGAAAGCCACGGCUAACUACGU